AUUUUCUAUUGUCCGCAGGCAGUUAGAUCUGCCAUAGGAAUCAUGAGCCAGUGAGAACUUAGCUUACAGUUCAACAAAAGUUGGCUUUGGAAUAAGUGUACAUUCGUCCCAGAAUAUAAACAUUUUUGGAACAGAACUGAUAGUCAAUAUGGCAUCAUCUAAAAAGUGCAAGAAACAAACAAAAUAUAAUAAGAAUUUAAAACAAUACUCGAGUAAAACGCAAAAAAUUCUCGGUUUGAGCAAAAAUGGCUUUUGGAACUUCCUGCGGAACUACAGAAAGAGGCAUUCCAGGCUGACGCCAGGAGCUACGAUCCGACAUGGAGCCAGGGAUUGGUGUGCACUUACAAGAAAACAGAAGGAAAAAUAUUACAAUAUGGAACGGGCCUCAUCUGCAAGCACUCUUGCAUUACUAAACUUUUUGUGUAUUUUAAAUUAAUGUACAUUCAAUAAUAUUAAACUUUCCUCUUGUGUAUUUUAAA